UACGUAUGGUGCAAGCGUUGUCCGGAAUUAUUGGGCGUAAAGAGCUCGUAGGCGGCUUGUCGCGUCGGCUGUGAAAACCUGGGGCUCAACCCCGGGCCUGCAGCCGAUACGGGCAAGCUAGAAUUCGGUAGGGGAGACUGGAAUUCCUGGUGUAGCGGUGAAAUGCGCAGAUAUCAGGAGGAACACCGGUGGCGAAGGCGGGUCUCUGGGCCGAUAUUGACGCUGAGGAGCGAAAGCGUGGGGAGCGAACAGG
rnacentral:rRNA from 1 species